CAUGUGAUCUUUCAAGAUGGCCGCGUACAUUCAAUAAGUGUUAACUCGAAGAAAAUGGAAGAUUUAUGCGAAACAGUUGAUAAUUACGAGGAAUCUAUUAAAAAUAUAAGAAAAAGAGAAUUUCCUCAAUUAGAAGGUGUACUUUUCAUUGCCAAUUAAAUGCUUACACUGUCCAUUAUAUGAUUGAUUAUAUCGUUUAAUUGUUUUAUUUGCAAUUUAAUAGGUCAGUGUUCUGUUGUUUUGUAAAAGAAUUACAAAAAUAGUACAGUAGCCAGUAAUCAACCACUUGUUUUCUGUAACUGAUGGGAAAAAAACCUUUAAAGACUUUAUUGCAGCCCUUUUAUCUAUUCGUGUUUUGAUGAUUACGCUUAAUUGCUUUAAGUAAGAAACCUACGUAAUGAGACCAUGCUGUUACUUUGACAAAAUAUUAAAGAGCUAUUUAUCUCAUUACUUUAGCAUCUUUACUAUCAAUAGAACCAUUGAUCUUUCCCUUUAUUGGUAGGUUAUUUUCUUUUAUUAAACGUCUCAAUGGGUGUCCUUUUUUUAUUGUUAAACCUAACAAAUAAAGUCUAAUUAACAUAUAAAAAUAUCAAUUUUCUUAUAUAACACACUAUUAACUUUCCAUAAUGUUACCUGUUGUUAAAAUAGUUAACAACGGAUUCUACUAAAUUAAUUAAAAACAAUAGCUCCUUUAUGGCCUCGUAUUUCACUACUAAUGCUUCAAUUUCGCAUCAGUAAACUUAUUAAGUGCUAAUUUAAAAAGCAAACGUUUAAAAAUAUCUAUUCAAAUUAUAAAUACGUUCAAGAAGAGAAAUAAAACAAUACAACAUUCUCGCUAAAAUCUAUUGUUAUUCAAUUUUUGAUUGAAUAGAUAAUUGAAAUUGAUUAUUAAUUUUCUUUUUAUUUUUUAUCCUCCUUCCCUCCCUUUCACACACCACCCACACACACACAUAUAUAUAUAUGUAUAUAUAUAUACUCUCUUUCUUCUCUCUCCCGUCCCUCCGCACACCCUCGGUCUACUUAAUUGCUUAAUUAUACUGUUUUAUAUAAUUACAGAUUGGCAAACAAUCUUAGGAGAAUAUUUUUUAGGCGAAAAAAAACGCAAAACAAACAAUACUUUAAAUUUUCUUCAAGAUAUUCUGCGGUUGCUAUUGAUUAAAUAUCUUGUUUGUUUUUCAAUGUACACUUUGCCAAUGAUUCCGUGAGGGAAAAUUUAUGUAAAAUUUGAUAUUAUAUAUGUUUUUAUCAUUAUAUUUGAACCUAAGAUGUUGGAUAAUUGGAAAAUAUUAAAAAAGAGUGAAACGUCUAGCUGUUAUAAUACUUAUUGCCUUAAAAAAAACAGAAAUGUAUAAAAUACAGACAACAUUUAAAUAAUUCCAUACAAAAUUUCAGACAAUCUAAUUUGCUUUUAUGUCUGCAUUGUGUCAUAUAGGCCAAAAAUCUUAUAUAGGGAAGGAGGUAGGGGAGAGGGGCAGAGAGAGGCUUACUCUUUCAAACGGAAAAAUGGAAUCAAUCUAACCGUUUUUCUUUAGCUUAAUAUAUUUUUUGUCUUAAAUCUCCAUCUUAUAUUAUAUUUGUAUACAGUUUCUAUAGAAAACUCGUAAUAAAACAUAUCUUGAUCAUGCUGGUACUACAAUCUACUCAAAGAUUCAAAUUCAAACUUUUGCGGAUAAUCUACAGCAAAAUCUCUAUUCUAAUCCGCACAGUAAACACGAAAGUGGCGUGUUUACGUACGAUCUUAUAGAAAAUGUCAGAGAAAAGGUGCUGAACUUUUUCAAGACUAAUUCCGACGAGUACACCUUGAUUUUUUCCUCCGGCGCAACAGCUUCUCUUAAAUUGGUAGGAGAAACUUUUGACUUCCAGGAUUCAUCCAUCUUCGCCUAUCAUGAGGAAUGCAGAUAAUCUUCAAUUUCAUAUAUAUAGUGUAUUACAGUUUACGCUGUAUAUAUUAUAUAUAUAUAUAUAUAUAUUAUAUAGGCUAUAAUAGUUUUCUAUUGUUGUUUUUUAGAAACUUUAAUCUUUACAUUAUUAAAAUUUUAAUAUGAAACAAAAGGUGUUUUGAACACACGUAGUAGGUUGAAAAUCUGCAUUUCUAUAGGAUUGUCAUACAUCUGCCUUGGGAAUCAGGGAAUUAAUGAAGGACAAUGUGCGAAUUGAAUGCACUAGAACAUUUGAUUUAACAGGACGAGCCGGUUGUCAUAAUUUAUUCAUGUAUACUGCUCAAAGUAAUUUCUCAGGGAAUAAGUACCCUCUGCAAUGGAUUUCGAGAUGUCGAGAUAAUGGAUUUUCUGUCCUUUUGGACGCAGCUAGUUUCUGCUCGACUUCACUCUUGGAUUUAAGUGCUUUCAAACCUGACUUUUGUGUCGUUAGUUUUUAUAAAAUUUUCGGCUUUCCUACUGGUUUAGGAGCAUUAAUUGUAAAGAACUCCUCGGAUUAUUUGCUGAAGAAACGUUACUUUGGAGGUGGUACUAUUCUAAUGGCUCUAACUGAUACGAGAUAUCACGUAGCCAAAAAGAAUUUACACGAACGCUUCGAAGACGGCAGUUUGCCUUUCACGGAAAUAUUAGCACUGCAACACGCAAUGGUAGCUUUCGAAACUUUGACAGGAGGUAUACUAAACGUUCAGAAUUAUACUUUCAAGCUUGUAAAGAAAUGUGCUGGUCGUCUGAAAUCUAUUCAACACACAAACGGAAAGAAAUUGAUAGAAAUAUAUUCGUUACACGACACUAUUAAUAAGGACACGCAAGGACCAGUUAUUGCCUUUAAUUUAUUCGACGCCUCCGGAAACGUUAUCGGAUAUAGCCGUGUCACCAAGCUGGCAAAAGUAUUCAAUAUAGAAUUUCGGACUGGAUGCUUCUGUAAUUUGGGAGCCUGUCAUUACUUUCUGAAACUUUCUGACGAUGAGGUUCUUAAGCAGUUUGAUUUGGGUCACGUGUGUGGGGACGAUAAUGAUCUCAUUAAUGAUAAACCAACGGGUGCUAUAAGAAUUUCUUUUGGCUAUAUGACUUUAUGGGAGGAUGUCGAGAGAUUCUUGAAGUUUCUAACUAACUUUGUUGACGAGAACAAGGAGACAACCCCAACUAAACACCAGGAAAGGGAAUCUUGUUCGGUGGUUAUCGAACGCAUUUGCGUCUAUCCGAUUAAAUCCUGCGCCGCCUUUGAAAUAGAUGGAAGCUGGCCAAUUCUCAAUCAAGAAUUACUAUACGAUAGACAAUGGAUGAUAAUAACAGCUAGAGGAGAUACUAUAACUCAAAAGAAACACGCAAAUUUAUGCUUAGUUAAGCCAGAAAUAGAUUUAACUUUAAAAAAAAUAACUCUGUCCUAUCCAGGAGUAGACAACUUAAUUAUCUCUUUAAAGUAACUUUUUGUGAAUUUAAACUACUAUUAAUUAAUACAAACUAAAGUAUCUUUAUUUUUAACUAUUAUCAAAAUUAAGAUAAGAAUCACUAAUGAAAAGAAACGAAAAUUUUUAUUCUCAGUUCUCAAUCUCUUCUCUCUCCCUCUCUCUCUCUCUCUCUCUUUCUCAGUUUAUCUUAUGAAAAUUCGGCACAAAAAAAUCUAUUCUUCCUACUUUUUUACUCUUGUUUUUAUUAGAUAAAUUUUUUGUCCUUAAACUUGUAAAGAAUGAAAAGAUAGUCAAAAAACUAUUCCAAAGAGUUAGGGAGAAAGGAAGGGGGAUGAACCAAUGAGAGACAUACAGAUACAGAGAGACAGAGAGAGAGAGAGAAAGAGAUAGCAAAAAUGAGUAACUGUCAUAAAAGUAUUUAAACAAAUUGUUACUUUAAAAAGGUCCGUUAAAGGACGAAUUACUAGGAAGGCGACUGUUUGUGGAAAAAUGUAAGUACAAGAGCCAUCUACAGGAAAGAAUAAGGGGAAUUCUAUUUUUGUAAAUUCAUUUUAUCAAUUCAUUUGGAUAAAUAGUUAUGAAUGUCGAGUCGAAGAAGAUUUAUUCAAUAAUUUAGUAUACUUAUAGUUGAUUAAUUGGGAAAAAAUUGUAUAUAGAAUUAACAGGAAAUGAUAGUAAUUGUCCUUUUUUCUAUUCAUCACAAAGAGUUGAGGGUAUUGAAGAAGACGAAGAAGCUAGCGAGUGGUUUAAUCAGAUAUUGGGACUGUCAGGUUGCCGCUUAAUUCGAAGAAUUCCAUGUAAAUAAGAUAAAAAUUAAGCCUUUCUACAUAAAUAUUCAACAUUGUAAGUCAUUUAAAAGAAAAUUAUCUGUAUUUUCAUAAAGUAAAUGAAGGAAAAGGCGAUUUAUUCAGUAAUCAAGAGAAAUUACUUUUGAUCUCUAGAAGUAGUGUUCAAUCGCUUCUUUCCCUGCCAAAAUUUGGUAACUAAAUUUGCACCAAUUCUAGGGUUUUCCCUAAUUGAAUUAUCUUCGACAGAUGUAAGGGAAGAGGAUCGAUUCAGAGCAAACCUAAUUGUGAGCGGUUCUCCACCCUUUCACGAAGAGUGCUGGAAGGAAAUUACGAUAGACGGGCUGAAUUUAACAGUAAGUUUCAAGAAUAGAUUAGAAAUCUCUAGAUGGUGUGGAAAUUGAAAUUGAAACCGUCUCAAAUCGGAUUGGUAGAGCAAAAAACCAAACCACAGGCAGUCAUUCAUUAGACCGUCAUGCCAUCUGUAGUUUUUUAUUUCAAUCUUACUUAGAAUCUAAUUCAAACUAAUGGAGUGUUUUUUGACUCAACUUAGAAAACAGGAGAUUGUAAACGAUG
rnacentral:misc_RNA from 1 species